rnacentral:rRNA from 1 species
GACGAACGCUGGCGGCGUGCUUAACACAUGCAAGUCGAACGGUAAGGCCCUUUCGGGGGUACACGAGUGGCGAACGGGUGAGUAACACGUGGGUGAUCUGCCCUGCACUUUGGGAUAGGCCUGGGAAACUGGGUCUAAUACCGGAUAGGACUACGCGAUGCAUGUCGUGUGGUGGAAAGCUUUUGCGGUGUGGGAUGGGCCCGCGGCCUAUCAGCUUGUUGGUGGGGUGAUGGCCUACCAAGGCGACGACGGGUAGCCGGCCUGAGAGGGUGUCCGGCCACACUGGGACUGAGAUACGGCCCAGACUCCUACGGGAGGCAGCAGUGGGGAAUAUUGCACAAUGGGCGCAAGCCUGAUGCAGCGACGCCGCGUGGGGGAUGACGGCCUUCGGGUUGUAAACCCCUUUCAGCACAGACGAAGCGUAAGUGACGGUAUGUGCAGAAGAAGCACCGGCCAACUACGUG